rnacentral:misc_RNA from 1 species
UCGUGCAAAGUGUGCAGAGGGCACCCCGAGUGCUGUCGCUGGCUCCCAAAGAGUCGUGCACGCCCGGAGCGUGUCCUCUCACAUAACACAAUCCAUCUCACCCUUUGUGCACCACCGCGUGGGCCCCUCUCCUCGGAGGGGGUUCGCGUUUUCACACAAAACCCCCCUUUAAAUAAAAGUGUAGAAUGUCUUCUUUAUGAAAUCAAUA